rnacentral:rRNA from 1 species
UAACUAUAACGGGCCUAAGGUAGCAAAUUUCCUUGUCGUCCUAAUAACGACCUGCAUGAAACAUAGAACGAUUCGAUAGCUGUCUUGCACACACAUCAUGGUAAAAUAUUCAUCAGUACAAAGAAUAUGCUGGUGAGCUAAGACCACACUAAAGGACAAAAAGACCCUCUGAAGCUUUAUAGGGAUAAAAUCUAGUACACAUCCAGGCGUUUGUAUACAAGGUGAUGGCCCAAGAAGUCCUUCCCAGUAUUUAAAUGCUAUCUUAAUGAGCUUAAAAUUAAUCUACCAACACCAAGCUACUCUACGGAUAACAGGCUUAAUUUCGGCAAUACGAAAGCUCACAUUAUCAAGAAAAAUGCACCUCGAUGUCGGCUUAUCAUCACCAAAAUCUGUAGCUAGCUUAUUGGUGGGAGUGCUCAUCCCGUAAAUCGGUACGUGAGCUGGGUUCAAUACGAUGG